rnacentral:piRNA from 1 species
UCUAUGCUCGUGUCCACGUUCUAAUAAUGGAC